rnacentral:rRNA from 1 species
CUUUCUUUUAACGAGAGUUUGAUCCUGGCUCAGGAUGAACGCUGGCGGCAUGCCUAACACAUGCAAGUCGAUCGGUAAGGCUCUUCGGAGUACACGAGAGGCGGACGGCUGAGUAACGCGUAGGAACACACCCUGCAGUGAGGGAUAAGACACCGAAAGGUGUUCUAAUACCGCAUACGGUCUUCGGAUUAAAGCAUUUAUGCGCUGAAGGAGUGGCCUGCGUCAUAUUAGAUAGUUGGUGAGGUAAUGGCUUACCAAGUCGAUGAUGUGUAGCUGGUCUGAGAGGAUGAUCAGCCAGACUGGAACUGAGACACGGUCCAGACUCCUACGGGAGGCAGCAGUGAGGAAUAUUUCACAAUGAGCGAAAGCUUGAUGGAGCAAUGCCGCGUGCAGGAUGAAGGCCCUCGGGUUGUAAACUGCUUUUAUAAGAGAAGAUUAUGACGGUAACUUAUGAAUAAGGGACGGCUAACUACGUGCCAGCAGCCGCGGUCAUACGUAGGUCCCGAGCGUUAUCCGGAGUGACUGGGCGUAAAGAGUUGCGUAGGCGGUCAAGUUAGCGAGCGAUGAAAACUAUCGGCUCAACCGAUAGCUUGUUGUUCGAACUGCUUGACUCGAGAGUAUCAGAGGUCGCUGGAAUUCCUAGUGUAGCAGUGAAAUGCGUAGAUAUUAGGAAGAACACCGAUGGCGUAGGCAGGCGACUGGGAUAUUUCUGACGCUAAGGCACGAAAGCGUGGGUAGCGAACCGGAUUAGAUACCCGGGUAGUCCACGCCGUAAACGAUGGAUGCUAAUUGUUUGAGGUAUCGACCCCUCGAGUAAUAAAGCUAACGCGUUAAGCAUCCCGCCUGUGGAGUACGGCCGCAAGGCUAAAACAUAAAGGAAUUGACGGGGACCCGCACAAGCGGUGGAGGAUGUUCUUUAAUUCGACGUUAAGCGAAGAACCUUACCAGGGCUUGACAUCCCUAGAACUUUUUCGAAAGAAAAAGGUGCCUUCGGGAGCUAGGUGACAGAUCCUGCAUGGCCGUCGUCAGCUCGUGUCGUGAGAUGUUUGGUUAA